GUCGCCCGGCGGCUUCACGUGCGGCCCCUUUUGGGCCGGUGCCGGACGUCGAAAUACCGUCAGCAUUUUUCACUCCCCUUUGGCCUUGGGCUCCCCCCCCAAAACCGAAAAUCUUUAAAUGUGCGCCAUAUCCCGACCUCACCUCAAUUUUGACAGCUUCCGCCAGUCGUUUAAAGGCUAAUUCAGCUGAAGGAGAUUACAAUGGUCAAGGUCCUGCAUUCCUUCCUCCACCCGCCUCCUUAUCUCCGAGGCUUUUCAGCUUUAGGCCGGCUUGAUCGCCUGAGUGGGCUUGAUUACCAAGGGCCAUCUGCUGAGCACCAAGGCUGAUUGGUUGAUGGGAACAACCAACUGUCAGGAGGACGGCUGAAAAUGUGCUGCAUCUGGAGCUUCCGUGGGGAACCUGGAAAAAUAUCAACUAUUGAAAAAUGUUUCCUUUUUCUUUUGUUGGCCAGCAAUGUUACUAGCAUAAGGUAAUUUUUUCCCUUUGACUCUGAUGAGGAAAAUUCCUUAUAAUCUCUCAGGAACGGGCUUGGAUUGGAAAGACCUAUGAAAUGAAAAGUGCUACAUAAUUUUA